UACGGAGGGUGCAAACGUUGCUCGGAAUCAUUGGGCGUAAAGCGCACGUAGGCGGCGCGUUAAGUCGGGUGUGAAAGCCCUGGGCUCAACCCAGGAAGUGCAUUCGAAACUGGCGCGCUUGAAUAUGGAAGAGGGUCGCGGAAUUCCCGGUGUAGAGGUGAAAUUCGUAGAUAUCGGGAGGAACACCAGUGGCGAAGGCGGCGACCUGGGCCAAUAUUGACGCUGAGGUGCGAAAGCGUGGGGAGCAAACAGG
rnacentral:rRNA from 2 species